AUCCUUUUUUGGUUCAUAAGUGUGAUGAAUGGGUUUUCACACAUUGUGUGAGAUGUGCCUCCCUCGAAACCUUGUUGUGACGUCGGCACGCUACUCCUCUGAGG